rnacentral:lncRNA from 1 species
GUCCUUUGCCUCAACAAGGUAAAUAGUCGCUGCCCCAGCUCAGGUGCCUCCCUUGCAGAACACACACAGGUGGGGAAAAGGGCUUGCAGGGGGCCUUGGGCUUAUGGGGAUAAAGAGGCAGGAACUGAGUCUGAGAACAAUAAAAACCAGGCCUGGCACUUGGUGUGGAGCAGUGACCAGGGAGAGGACUUGACCUGGGGAAGGGACAGGGCUCCAACAGGAGCCUUCUGAAGCGUGCGGGCCAGGAGGCCAACUGCAUAGGGUGGCGAGAAGGACCCAGGACCCACCCCCCGUGGCUUUCCCUUUCAGGUCUGAGUCUCUCCGUGUGCAGAAGGAGGAUUGCAUUGGCUCAGUGCUUUCCAAAGUGCUGAGGGAUUCCAGGGGCACCCACGGAGCUCCCCUGGGGCCUGUGGACGGGGGUGGGUGAGUGAGCAGGAGUCAGGUCUCCCCUCUGCACUGACCUGAGCUGCCUCAUCUUUACAUUUUACUUUUAUUUAAAGACUGUAAGCCAAAGCCAGUGUGAAGCCUCCUGAGCUGGCUGAUCUCCACAUCCCUGCCAGCACCUUAUGACCCACCAUUCUACACUGGUGGAGGGGGGCUUAUGUUAGCGCUAUUGGGACCCUGGGACAGAGUUGACAGUGAACUUUGGCAGAGGAGGAGGUACCUUUUUCGUGUGAUUAGGGAACCUGGAUUCUUUCCCUGGCCCCAGCACCGGAUGUGUACCCCAAAGAGGCUAACUCCUUGGGACUGAAGCCCAUCUGCCCACAAGAUGCAGGAGUUUGAAGGGUGCACCCCACCCUAAAGGGCACAGUCUCAUCACCCUGAAUUUCUGGGUUGGGCAAACCACUAGUUGACACAGUAUUCAGCCAUAAAGAAACAGAGAAGCUACUUCCUUGAAAUCAGUGCUACCUUGAUAAGUAUAAAUCCUGCAAGAAACCAAGGAGAAACCCAUAUGAGAUAUUAACUUGUUGGGUAGAAGGUCAGGUUCACGUUUCACAGGAUGACAAUGGCUGUGCUGUGACCCAGCAGGCUCUGUUGUAUGUGCCAAGGCCUCCCAGCUGGUCUGGGCCAGUUCUGUCCUUCCACGCCUCACUGGGAGCCACCCAUUUUGUCAAUAAGCAGCUGGUAUCCCUCUGCUUCUUAGUCAUAUGUCAUUUAUAGACUCCUGAUCUGCCCCCAGUGUCACGGCCGUUGUAGGUUCUGGAAGGAACAGAAAGCAGGUAACUGACAGAAAAACCAUCCACCCUCGGUUGAGUUCUCUUUGAGUUUUUCUCUUGGAUUUGGGAGCUGGGGGCGGAGGGUGCCUGCCUGUGUGCUGGGGGUAUGGGGAAAGGCAUUCACCACCAGGCUGAAAAAUGACCAACUGCUCAAAAGCCAGGUGGAUAAAUCUGCCAAUUCAGUGAAAUCACAUCCUGUUCCAUUCGGAGGGGACAGCAAACACAGAUGCACACAGCGGAGUAGUAAUUACAUCUCAGAAGAUGCUAAAUAUUUCAACGCCUGUCUGGUGCCGAUUCUUAUUGGAGGGAAUUUUCUGGUGUUGGGUUUUACAGGCAGUAAAGUUGUGUACUGAGUUAUUUUUCUCUACCUCUCAAAAAGCACUGUGUCCAUAUUUUACCAUGUGUCAGGUAAUAUGGAAGUUGGCUUUAUGCAAAUCAUUAGUUACCUUAAACCACAAUCUCUGUACUCACACUGGAAAGCUCUUCCCUGGAGUUGUCUCUUUGCUGGGGAAAACUCUUCAUCACUGGAUGGUCGUUUAUUUCUGUUUCUAGGAGCAACCACUUCAGAUUCCUAGCGUGUGGGUGGUUUGCACGCAUGAGUCAUGCAGAUGUUACGUUCCCCUGAAAGAACCAGCCAGAUCUUUUACCAGGCAGGGACUUUGUCCCAAGCUGCUGUGACCUGGGAGGUUAGCCCUGCUACUGCAGCCAGAGGCUAACUGUUGAGGAGGCACAAAGGCCAGCCCCCUUCUCUGAAGGACGGUGUGACUGCCCUGUGGAAAUGCCCCAGCGGCCCUUGGGCCUCAGGUCACAGCUCGGCUUUACCCAAGAUCCAUCCUUGCUUGGCCCGUCCUUCCCUAAUGCUCGUGGAGGUUUUUCCUGAAGGGCGCUCCCUGGAGAAAUCACAUGCCCCGGAAUCCCUGUCUUAGGCUCUGCUUCUAGAACCUGAACUAAGACAGGAAGUAGGCCCCUACAGCGAUGGCCCUGAAGAGCCUGGAUUCCAUGGUCUUUUACCUGGUGUCAUAAAUGGUUCCCCCAAGUCAGUCCAGUUUCUCUAGUUUCCCUGAGAACUUUGCCUGUGGCAGAGGCAGAUCACAGAGGCUCCACUCCAGCACAGAGCAGGGAGACAGCAGGUCACACCACUGCCAGUUGAGUGCUCUGCCAGUUGAUGGCAACUUUAGUAGGAUGGAUUCUUCCUAGGAUGCACCUAUGAGGCAAAGUGUUUUGUCCCAAGGGUCACAGGCUUACAAUGAUGGGCAGAGAGAAACCCAUUUGCUUUGUGCAGACACCUAAAGGACUACUGUGAACGGGCUCUCCCUUACCAGGCUACUGCUGUCAUCUGAAGUUCCAGUUUUAGAGAUUUAGUUCUUGGUGGCACACAACUAUAGUUCUAGCUACUUGGGAGACUGAGGCAGGAGGAUCACUUGAGCCCAGGAGUUUGAGACCAGCCUGAGCAACAUAGUGAGACCCCCUUCUCUAUAUUUUUGUUAAAAAGAGAUUUAAAUCUUUAUGUUGAAACACAAUCUGACUUAUUACUGUGUCAGCCAUUAGCAGUUUCACGUGAAUUAAUUUGUCCCAGAGUCCAGUGUGACAGCUGGUCCAGGCAGCAUUGGAUGGGGGCAGGGAGGAAAGUUAGGGCCAGAAUAGAAGUUUGGGUGAGACGCUCAUGCCAUGGACUGGGGCAAUGUGAGAGGCCACAGCCAAGGUCUGCCCUUUUCCCAGUUUUGCUGAUCACAGUGGUAGUGAAAAAAAGAUCCAUUUUUAACGAUCCUCCUUUUCUAUUUCGGAGUCAUACACAGUGAUGGACACAUAGCAGGACUUAAAAAUGCUUGCUCUGCAACACGAAGACAACGACUGAAUGACCCCACUUCCAUGAGGUAUCUAGAGUAACCAAACUCAUAGAAACAGAAGCUAGAAGGCGGUUGCCGGGGUCCAGGGGGAGGAAAAUGGAGAACUGUUGUUCAAUGGUGAUGGAAACGCUUUGGAGAUGGGUUGUAUAACAGUGUGACUAUACUUAACACAACUGAGCCGUGCACUUAAAAAUGGUUGAUGGAAGCCCUGAAACUCUGUACGUCUAUUACGCAUCAUUAAAAAUAUUGCUC